AGUGAACGCUGGCGGUAGGCCUAACACAUGCAAGUCGAACGGCAGCACAGUAAGAGCUUGCUCUUACGGGUGGCGAGUGGCGGACGGGUGAGGAAUACAUCGGAAUCUACUUUUUCGUGGGGGAUAACGUAGGGAAACUUACGCUAAUACCGCAUACGACCUACGGGUGAAAGCAGGGGAUCUUCGGACCUUUCGCGAUUGAAUGAGCCGAUGUCGGAUUAGCUAGUUGGCGGGGUAAAGGCCCACCAAGGCGACGAUCCGUAGCUGGUCUGAGAGGAUGAUCAGCCACACUGGAACUGAGACACGGUCCAGACUCCUACGGGAGGCAGCAGUGGGGAAUAUUGGACAAUGGGCGCAAGCCUGAUCCAGCCAUGCCGCGUGGGUGAAGAAGGCCUUCGGGUUGUAAAGCCCUGUUGUUGGGAAAGAAAAGCAGCAGGUUAAUACCCCGCUGUUCUGACGGUACCCAAAGAAUAAGCACCGGCUAACUUCGUG
rnacentral:rRNA from 1 species